rnacentral:rRNA from 1 species
AGAGGGUGCGAGCGUUAAUCGGAAUCACUGGGCGUAAAGAGCACGUAGGUGGACUGUUAAGUUGGUUGUGAAAUCCCCGGGCUUAACCUGGGCAUGUCAAUCAAAACUGGCAAUCUAGAGUGAUGUAGAGGGUAAUGGAAUUUCCGGUGUAGCGGUGAAAUGCGUAGAGAUCGGAAGGAAGACCGGUGGCGAAGGCGAUUACCUGGACAUAAACUGACACUGAGGUGCGAAAGCGUGGGUAGCGAACAGGGAUUAGAUACCCUGGUAGUCCACGCCGUAAACGAUGAGUACUAGCUGUUUGGUGCACUAGUGCUAAGUGGCGUAGUUAACGCGCUAAGUACUCCGCCUGGGGAGUACGGCCGCAAGGUUA